rnacentral:lncRNA from 1 species
GGGGUGUCUCCUCUCCUCUAAAAUCCUUAGGAAACUAAACUUACUCCUCUGUGCAGGAGUCUGGCAGCUCCAGACAUUUGCAUGAGAAUUCAUGAAGGAGAAAAAAAAAUCCUUGCUAAUGAGCUUUUCCCCCCCUUCAACCAGGAUUCCUAUUUGUGCUGUGAGCCAACGUCAGCCUGCACGUGCGGUAGAGUCUUGCACCCAGACUUAAAAGCCCAGUUUGCUGAAGUGCUGGCUUUAUUGGGCACUAUGAAACUGAUGUCAGCAACUGUAGGACUGGGGUGCUUUGGAAUCUCCUUCUAGGCAGUCUGAGUUUAAUCCAUCUUCAUUGGCAACACUCUUCAAAGAGCUUGUCCUGCCUUCUGGGGUCCCCCUUGAUCUUUCUUCCUGAAUGUGCAUCACGCUUUGUAGCCCCCCCACCCCCAACCUUGACCUGCUCAGUACACUCAGACUUGCAUCUUUAGCAGUUUGGUUGUUUUUUUGUUUUUUUUUUUAAACUUUCUUUCACUUCAUUGGCACUUAAUUGUUUUUCCUUAUAAGACUUUUUGGAGGUCAUCAACAAAGACCAUAAACUGAUAUCCUAGUGUGCUUCCUCUGUGUGUGCGUGUGCGUGUGUGUGUGUGUGUCUAACAUUCCAAAUACUUUUUUUCUUUUCCACUGUUUGUAAAGGGCAACAAAUUAAUAUUUCAAAGGUUGUUUUAAUAGUUCCUUACAACCCGACCUUAAACUACUUCUGUGCAGUCCCACACAGUGCCGACAUUAGAGAGAUGACAUUGCUUUGUCUUCUCAGCCGCCAUCCUUCCUGAGCUGUUUGCUGCUGCAUUGCCACUUCUUCCCCUGUUUCGCUUCUCUUAAGCAGUUUCAAUAUCUUUCAUUAUAGUCACAAUAUUGCCACGGUUUAUUAUAAUAAGGGGGUUUUAAUUUGAUUUAGAGCAUUCAAAGUGUUUUUCAUCACUUUGUGUUUAUACUAUAAUCCUUGAGUGUAUGUUGUGUGUAUGUGUGCAUGGGUGGUUAUGCGUGUGUUCAUAGGGUAAUGCCUUCUUGGGACUGUGUUACUGUUCUCUCAGUUUAUUAUGCCAUCCAAAUGGUGGACGAGAACGCUAUGACUGUAGUUAGCUCACAAUUUUUAAAUAAAGGAUACCACAGU